CAGGAUUAGAUACCUGGUAGUCCACGCUGUAAACGAUGUCGAUUUGGAGGUUGUUCCCUUGAGGAGUGGCUUCCGGAGCUAACGCGUUAAAUCGACCGCUGGGGAGUACGGCCGCAAGGUUAAAACUCAAAUGAAUUGACGGGGGCCCGCACAAGCGGUGGAGCAUGUGGUUUAAUUCGAUGCAACGCGAAGAACCUUACCUACUCUUGACAUCCAGAGAAUUUAGCAGAGAUGCUUUAGUGCCUUCGGGAACUCUGAGACAGGUGCUGCAUGGCUGUCGUCAGCUCGUGUUGUGAAAUGUUGGGUUAAGUCCCGCAACGAGCGCAACCCUUAUCCUUUGUUGCCAGCACAUUAUGGUGGGAACUCAAAGGAGACUGCCGGUGAUAAACCGGAGGAAGGUGGGGAUGACGUCAAGUCAUCAUGGCCCUUACGAGUAGGGCUACACACGUGCUACAAUGGCGUAUACAAAGAGAAGCGACCUCGCGAGAGCAAGCGGAACUCAUAAAGUACGUCGUAGUCCGGAUUGGAGUCUGCAACUCGACUCCAUGAAGUCGGAAUCGCUAGUAAUCGUAGAUCAGAAUGCUACGGUGAAUACGUUCCCGGGCCUUGUACACACCGCCCGUCACACCAUGGGAGUGGGUUGCAAAAGAAGUAGGUAGCUUAACCUUCGGGAGGGCGCUUACCACUUUGUGAUUCAUGACUGGGGUGAAGUCGUAACAAGGUAACCA
rnacentral:rRNA from 1 species